rnacentral:rRNA from 1 species
GUUCUGAUUAUGUCUCAGAUUGAACGCUGGUGGAUGCCGUACAUGCAAGUCGAACGGCAGCACGGACUUCGGUCUAUGGCGGAGGGCGAACGGGUGAGUAAUGAAUGGAACGUGCCUAGUAGCGGGGGAUAACUACGCGAAAGCGGUAGCUAAUACCGCACAUUCUCGGGUGUUGGGGACCUUCGGCCUGCACUAUUAGAGCUGGCUGAUAUCGGAUUAGCUAGUUGGUGGGGUAACGGCUCACCAAGGCGCGACGAUCCGUAGCUGUCGAGGAGACUUAAUUGUCACACUGGGACCGAGACACGGCCUGACUCCACGGAAAGGCAGCAGUGGGAAUUUUGAUAAUGGGGGAAACCCUGAUCCAGCCAUCCCGCGUGUGCGAUGAAGGCCUUCGGCCAGUAAAGCACUUUUGGCAGGAAAAAGAAACGGCACGGGAUAAUACCCCGUGCGACUGAUUGCGGCCUGCAGAACAGCGCACCGGCCAACUACGUGCCAGCAGCCGCGGUAAUACGUAGGUGCAAGCGUUAAUCGGAAUUACUGGGCGCUGCAGUAUGUUCAAAAGAAAGAUGAAAUCCCAGAGCUUAACUUUGGAACUGCAUUUUAACUACCGAGCUAGAGGCAUGAGGGAGGUGAAUCCGCGUGUAGCAGUGAAAUGCGUAGAUAUGCGGAGGAACACCGAUGGCGAAGGCAGCCUCCCCAAGAUAGCACCUGACGUGCUCAUGCACGAAAGGCGGGGAGCAAACAGGAUUAGAUACCCUGGUAGUCCACACGCCCUAAACGAUGUCAACUAGCUGUUGGGGCCUUCGGGUUUUGGUAGCAGCUAACGCGUGAAGUUGACCGCCUUGGGGAGUACGGUCGCAAGAUUAAAACUCAAAGGAACGACGGGACCGCACGCGGUGGAUGAUGUGGAUUAAUUUGAUGCAACAAGAAAAAACCUCCACCCUUGACAUGUCUGGAAUCCCGAAGAGAUUUGGGGAGUGCUCGCAAGAGAACCGGAACACAGGUGCUGCAUGGCUGUCGCCGCUGUGUCGAGAUGUUGGGUUAAGCCCGCAAUCGAGCGCAGUCCUGGUCAUUACGAGCAUGAAAGGGCGUUCCAACGAGACUGCCGGUGACAAACCGGAGGAAGGUGGGGAUGACGUCAAGUCCUCGGCCCUUAUGGGUAGGGCUUCACACGUCAUACAAUGGUCGGGACAGAGGGUCGCCAACCCGCGAGGGGAGCCAAUCCCAGAAACUCGAUCAAACUGGAUCGCAGUCUGCAACCGACCUGCGUGAAGUCGGAAUCGCUAGUAAUCGAUCAGCAUGUCGCGGUGAAUACGUUCCUGGAACGGUACACACCGCCCGUCACACUCAUGGGAGUGGGUUUUACCAGAAGUAGUUAGCCUAACCGUAAGGAGUGGCGAUUACCACGGUAGGAUUCAUGACUGGGUGAAGUCGUAACAAGGUAG